GUGCGUCACAAGGCAAGACCAUGCCAGUGCCCCCAGGGAAUUCACCCUGAACUGCUCUGGGAACUCAGCUUUAGAAAGAACUGGCUUGUGCAUUUGACCUUCCAGCUGGAGCAGGAAGUAGUCCCUAGCAGCAACUGCAUCCCAGAAUCUGAGGAACAGUGCGAUCCUGACUUGGUGUUGAGGAAUGAGGAGCUUUGAAACUUAGCCUUUUAAACUCUGUAAUAUUUUGAACAGUUUCUCGACCCUUAGACUCAUCAUAAUGAAAAGCACAAAUGUGAUCUUUUGUGACUGAUGAAGGAGGCACAGAGCCGCAUCCUCAGAGAUGGGGGACUGGAAGGGAGGGGCAAGAAGCCAGCAUCAGGCACCAGUUGAUAUCAGGGAAAUUUUGAAAUACCCAAGAGACUUGAGCAAAACGAAGCCAACCAGUCCUUCUUAUAGAAGGAAGAAAGGGAGUUGCUGACCACAGUGCCAGAGUACGGCAUGAGACCCUCACCACAGAGCUAUGAAAACUUUCUAGAUCUAGUUUGUGGGGCAAAGGCUGUCAUCAGCACAGGCUCCUCAGUUCUGGGGAGGAGCAAGGGACUGGCAGAGAGACAGAUCUCAUUUGAUGCUUCUCCCGUGCUGCCAGAUGGAGCCGGACGGCCCCCGGUAGUUGGGGCUUCAAUUGCUUCACCAUUUUCGUGGUCUCUGGACUUUUUGCCACCCAGGUGGAGUGCUUUCAGUUACGUAUGUGACACAUUUCCGCAACUUGGCUACAGUGGCAAAUAUCUAGAAGACUGAAAUCUUCUUGCCAAAAUUAAGGUACUCUCUUUUAUGCUGCAUUUUAGUCUAUCAAGAAAUGUUAUGAGGUGUGAGGUCAAUUGAAUACAAGUUAACUUCCCAGAAUCAUUCAUUCCUUUCCUUACGCAUGAACCAUCAUAUUAAUAUUUGAUAAUACACCAUGAUUUGGUUAAUCUAACCUGGACUUUUGUAAGGAUUCAAGGUCACUUUCAUUGCUCCGUGGUUUUUGGUAUCCUCCUUCUUCUCUGCUCCUUCUCCCUUUGAAUAUCCACAGAACUUUUGCCUCAAACCAUUCCCUGGGAUUUCUCAUGGACCCCCUUGCCAUGUCCCUGUGCCUCCAGCAAGCCUCUUGGCUGCACAGGAGGUACUGCGUGGACCCACCUGUCUGAACUGAUGGAGAGCUCCCAGGCUGCUCCCUGUUUCCUCCUCCUUCUUGAACCAAACCUUCCAGUUAUCCAGGACUCAAGAUCGGCCUCUCUGGCCAGGGCUGGAAGAGGGUGAGAGGUUUGCCUGGGGAGCCCCA
rnacentral:lncRNA from 1 species